CUGCACCUGCCAUGAUCUCUGGAGCAGUCUUAUCUGGAGACAGGAAACAAAGGGUUUGUCCUUGACAGAGGAAGGACUUCAGACUUGUGGACUCCAAUCAAGUUGUUGAAACAUCUCAAGGAUGAUACACAGAAACAUGAUGCCCCUAAGCUCAACUUCGAGUCUCAUAGCAAAGGGUCUGAAUACUUAUGUAAAUAAGAACCUGAGCCCUAGGACCAUGCCUCAGGACUACCUGGUAUGAUGACUCCUUGCUGUCCCCAGUCCACCUGGCCGUGCUGCUGCUCCAGUUUCAACUGUUCUGCCUGCGGCUAUGGAACCCUGACCUGUUCACCGGACGUGCUUGUUGCACCCUCGACAACUACUAUGAUUAUUAUUAUUUGACCAUGCUGGUCAUUUAUGAACAUUUUAACAG
rnacentral:lncRNA from 1 species